rnacentral:tRNA from 1 species
AAAAGAUUGGCAGAGCUAUGCAUUUGAUUUAGAUUCAAAUAACAGGAAAUUUUCCUAUCUUUUA